rnacentral:lncRNA from 1 species
UUGACCACUGCGAUCGAUCCGAUAAACCAAAGCAUCCUGGCCAACCGACUAACCAUUGAGAAUGGAACAAAUAGGGGAGAUUUAAUUCUUCUCUCUUGUCUUUCAACCCUUGCUCUUGCCUCGGCUUCGCCUUCCACCUUAUUAAGCUUUGGACUUCCACCUUCACUAACCCGUGGGACGGGACCGACCUUCUCUUUUGUUUGUAAUUGGACUUGCCCGAAACAAAGGAACCUUGGCGUGAGAACCCUCUAGAUUAGGGAGAUCCAAAUAAGAGCUUGUUGCAUAUGCGUAGGAAACCACCCCAUGCGGUGUGAGAAAAGCCCACUUGACUUCGGAAUGCCAACCUCCCUUAGCUUAGCCCUUUACGACCUU